rnacentral:rRNA from 1 species
UACGGGGGGAGCAAGCGUUGUUCGGAUUUACUGGGCGUAAAGGGCGCGUAGGCGGUCAGCACAAGUCAGUUGUGAAAUCUCCGGGCUUAACUCGGAAAGGUCAACUGAUACUGUGCGACUAGAGUGCAGAAGGGGCAACUGGAAUUCUCGGUGUAGCGGUGAAAUGCGUAGAUAUCGAGAGGAACACCUGCGGCGAAGGCGGGUUGCUGGGCUGACACUGACGCUGAUGUGCGAAAGCUAGGGGAGCGAACGGG